GGCCAGUACCCGCUGAAUUUAAGCAUAUAAAUAAGCGGAGGAAAAGAAACUAACGAGGACUCUCCUAGUAACGGCGAGUGAACGGGGAAGAGCCCAGCGCCGAAUCCCGCGACCCCAUAGGAGGGUCGCGUCAGGGAAAUGUGGCGUUUGGGAGAGACAUGUCCUUGCGGCAGUCGGAGCCGUAGUCCUCCUGACCGGGGCCAAUACCCAUGGAGGGUGCUAGGCCCGUAUCGACUCUGACUCCGUUUGGACGUCGCCCUCCCUAGAUUCGGGUUGCUUGGGAGUGCAGCCCUAAUCGGGUGGUAGACUCCACCUAAGGCUAAGUACAGCCGCGAGACCGAUAGCGAACAAGUACSGUGAGGGAAAGUUGAAAAGAACUUUGAAGAGAGAGUUCAGUC
rnacentral:rRNA from 1 species